rnacentral:rRNA from 1 species
AUGUCACGUCGAGGUACUGCAGAAAAAAGAACUGCAAAAUCUGAUCCAAUUUUUCGUAAUCGAUUAGCUAACAUGGUGGUUAACCGUAUUAUGAAAGACGAAAAAAACCAUUGGCAUAUCAAAUUCUCUAUCGAUCCGUGAAAAAGAUUCAACAAAAGACAGAAACAAAUCCAUGUUGGUCAACCAUCCGAACCGGGAUUCCUGUUAUUCAUACGAAGGAACAAGAAAAGAAGAAGUAUGGGAUAA